UACUUAACUGUUCGGUAAAGUGCGUGAAUACCAACGAGUGUGAUUUUUGCAGCGCGAGCCGAAGGCGAGCGUUGCAAAGCACACGAGUUGGUGUUCACGUACAUUUGCCGAAUCGUUGAGUAAUAUGUUUUACUUAAUUAGUAUAGGUAAAGCUCUCAGUGCCUCACUGUUUAAAACAAGGCAGUUGUCUUUAAGUCACUAUGCGUACAAAAUUACACAAAAAUGUAAAAAAAAUUACAAUUGUAGUUCUUUAAUUAUUCAUCUAAAUGGCAACCCUGCUUUACAUUCGAAGCGUGCUUUUCAGUAGAUAGAAAAGAUAACGUACAUGUGAUAGUGAUUUUGAUUUCUUGAAUAUGAAUUUUUUUCUUCUUAUUCCUUUAAUUUUGAAAUAAAGCAAUGGGUGUUUGAUUUUUAUCUAUCAGAAAAUGAAUUCCGUUUUGUUUUAGUUUAUUUAUUCACAAAAUCAAUUUCGAUUUUUAGUAUUUACAUCUAAAAUGUGAAGUGAUGAUAACAAAGUGGUGUGAAUUUUACUGAAGUACAUAGUUAUGUACUCGUACAUACAAUUUAUUCUUCAAAAAAGAAUUUUAAAACAUGGUUACUUGAUAUCUUUUGAAACUAAAUUUCAUCGAAUACCUUCGAAUGAACUGGCUGAAAGUAGAUUACAGAUUUACGUACAUGUGAUUUCUUACUUCUUUGAGUGAAUUUUACUUCGUUUAGUUCGUUUAGUUUUGAAAUAAAUCGUGGGUGUUCAAUUUCUAUCUAUCAGAAAAUGAAUUUUGUUUUGUUUAUAAUGUGAUGAUAACAAAGUGAUGUGAAUUUUACCAAAGUACUUAUGUACUCAUAUUAUGUAUUACUGUUUAUUCUCGAAAUUAGUUACACUUCACUUGAUCAUUCUCAAUGUGUGUUUUGUUUGUAAAUCAACUCUCCCAAGGAAUUAUCAACAGAUGUCCAAGGUAGCCAAUGCACGAGGGGCAAGACAUUGGGCGAGUACCUAGCGGAAGAGGAAGCUGCUGAGCAGGCGGCAGCGAGGGAGAAAAAGGCAGAAAAAAAGAAUGUACGAUUCAGAUCAGAUUCUACACUAGCCACAGACAUGACUACCUAAGAUAGUUAAUCUCUUAUGUAGGUAUGUAGGUAUUCUAGUGGGUUGCUAUUCAUUGUCUUAUUUCAUACCUACAUAUUAUGUAUUAUAUCUACAGUUAAUUUAUAUUUAAAUAUCUAGGAGCAAAUGUUGCAUAGUGAAGUACGUAGUUUUAAAAUGAUUUUUUGAACAUUAAAAAAAUGGUUGCUGGGGGCCUCACCAGACACCAUUUUAAUUCUAAAAAAGUGUGUGUACAUUACAACAUAAAUUUUCAUAUGAAAGUAUGUCCACUCGAAAACCAUUCAGAUGAUAUUAAAGCUCUCAAAAAAACAUUAAAAUGUUGGAAAAUUAUCAAAAAGUUAUGAAAAUUCAGAAAAAUUUGCCAUAUGGAUGAAAAAGUGUUGAAAACGUGUUGAACUGAUGUAAAAAAUUACAACAAUUUUUGUUAAAAGUGCAUGAAAAACUUUUUAAAAUGUUUUGAAAUUACAUAAAAUCGCGAAAAAAAUCUUCGAAUAUUGUUGUUCUGUACUUGUAAGUAAGUAUGUCUGCAGCUUGAAUAAUUGUAAGGGGCAAAAUAAAACUGAAAGCGACUUGUACAUAUUUAAUCAGUUUUUACACCCCUGAACUCGAGUGUAUCAUGUGUCGUAAUGCAACAUUUGCCCCUACCAAAUACCAAUUAGACUAAUUUAUUUCAAAUUAAACGAAUAUGAGUAAAUUAAUUUGUGGUAAGUAGGUAUACAUCGUUUAUUUUAAUUUUAAAUAUUUUAUUUCAGUUGAAUUGCCGGAUUAAGGCCCGUUUAUAAAAAUAAAUUGUAAUUUUAAAAAUUUUCAAGUCGUAGUUAUUCUUUCUGCAUUUUAGUACCUAUACCUAUUCUAAUUCAAGAUUUUUUUAAAUUCAAAAAUCCUAAAUACGAUACGAGUGGGUAGUUAUUUUAAAUACGAUGACCGAUUGACAAGUAAAAUCAACCCGAUUUAGAAAGUAGGGUAAGAACUGAAUUAAAUUAAAAAAUUCGUAGGCUACAUUUAAGUAAGUAAAUGAAUCUUUACCAGAGUCAAACACCAUACGGGCAAUCGACAAAGAUAUUUAGCUUUGGUCUACGAAACCUACGAAAUAACUUCAAAAAAUUGGGUAAACAAAACUUGGGUCACAGACUUGAAUUCGAGCAUUUCUUCUCUUAUUUCACAUUCGUAGGUCUAGGUACCUAGUACCACUUAGACCUACCUACUAAUACAAUUAGAGUUUUUACAAGAGAAGAGGAUUUAUUUAAAGUUUUCUCCUUUCCGGAGGGGGGUGGGGUGGGGGCGAGAAAUGAUGUUGAAGCGUUAUUCAGUGCAAAAGUUGUUAACCACAAACGUUAGAAAAUCUAAACAUUUUAAUCUCGAAAUAAAAUUGUUUUACAACUCUUGUUCAGCAAAGAUCUUAUAUUUUUAAAAUUUUCUUCGGAAAUAGAAAAGUGAUUGUGAACUCUGUUCAAUUUUGAUGUUCAAAUGUCUCUCUCGACAUGAAUUACAUACGCUUCAAAUUCGUUCUUGCGACGUUUCUCGAAUACCGAAGUGUGUAGGUACCUAUCAAAAAACGUAGACUCGUUACAAGUUGAAAUUUUUGAAAUAAAUCCUGAACACUAUGAUGGCAGUAUUAAUUCAUUUCGUUUCGUAGCACAUGAUAUGUUUUUUUAAAGUGCAAUUUAUAGUUGUGUUUCUUACCAAUAAAUUUUUGAAAAAUAAUCGGCGUUAAUGUGUGUUUUAUUGUUGAUAGAUCUGUUUUAAUAUUAUCUUACUGACUACGAAAAUCGUAGUCGUUGCAUUUCUCGUUGUCUUACUAUCGAUUUUUCGACUCUAGGAGCUCACAAAAAUUAUAUUCAUUUUUUCAAAAUUCUGCGCGGAAAACGAAAAAGAAAAACCAAUUUUAAUACCUAAUAAUAAUGAAUUUGACACGUGUCUUAUCUAUUACACUGAAAAUCUUCUUCAUCAUUUUGAUAAUAAGCAUUCAAAAACAUCAAUGUCCUACACUCACUCACAAUCAGUCUCCUACAGAAGGUCCUAUUCAUACUUCACCUGCACGUACAUUUGCAGUUUACCUACUACCUACAUACAUACCUACCUACUAGCGUCAUUGUCUAAUUUUCAAUUUUCAUAGCUGCAUACUUUGUUGCAGAAACUGAACCUCAAUCUCCUACCCUUGGCAAAAAAUCACUAGGGCAACUUCUAAAAGAGCCCCACCCUGGUCACAAAACCCUGCAGAGUUUCCUAGAUGAGCCGUUCUCAGUUGAAGCUGAGUCUGAGUCUCAACCUAUUGAAGGACACGCCCCAUUGGGACAGUUAAUCAACUAUAAACCUGAACCCGUUAAAAGUGCAUAAUGUUUAGUUCCUCAUAGAUGAGAACUAAUAAUCCAACUGUCUAUAGGUAUAGGUACUCAUCAACUUGCAUUUGUUUUAUGUUAGAUAAUCUUAUUUCUAAAAUUAGCUUCGUAGGUAAUUUUUUACCUUACCUAAUUCAAUUCUAAGCAAAUUUUCUGUCAAUAUUAUUACGUAAGUAUCGGUAGGUACCUAGUUAGUAAUGUACUAAAUUUACUGAGAAACUACAUUACCUAAGUAGGUUAAAAUCUUACACUGAUAAGUUCAUUAAAAUUACCUUGGUGAAUGUAAGUAAGUGAACUGGACAAUUUUUAUAAAAUAUAUUUGCACCUAUUUCGAUUUUUAAUUUCAAAUUAUUGUUGUACACACAUUCUUGACUUUGUGUUGUAAAAAUACUAAAUACCCAUGAACUUUUACCUUUUCUAUCCAUCACGAUUAUGAAAAAUUCAGUUUGUCAACAGGUAAUGUAAUUUCAUUUCAAAAAUUACCAUGUAGCUCCGAUUUUAUGAAUCUGAAGUGUUAUUUCUAUUUCUACACAAAUUAUGACAUAGGCUAAUUAUUAUUAUUCGAAGAAGUUCUAUUAGUGAAGAUUGAACUUGAAGACUCCUGAUUGUGAUUUGAUAGAGAUACUUGGUAUUCGGUAAGUAGGUAAUCCCAUCAAAACAGGGAAUAGAUUCAUCUCAAAAUGAAAUGAAAUGAACUCAACUCUGAACUCAAUCUUGUGAGCUUUCUCUUCAUCUGUUUAGGUACCAUGUACCUUCCAAAAUCUCUCCCAAUUCAAAAUUGCAAACACAAAAUGCCCAACUUCAUCAAACUGUAAAAAAUCGUAAAAUACCACGCAAGAAAUUACAAUAUUCAGGUUCCUUUCCAUCAACAUUUACACCAGCAAUUCAUAGUGAAAAUGAACUCACUAAAACUAUCUUCAAUGUAGGCCCUUAUAAUAUAUCCUUACUUUAUUUGAAAUCCAUAGAAAAUGAUCUACCACCUGCAGAACGUAAUUUGUGUGAAGAACAUGAUGAGGAUUUUCGAGUAGGUUGGUUGUUCGACAGCAUCAUUGAUGCCUAUUUGAGUAUACUGUGCUCUCCACAUCCCUAUGUGCAUGUCUUGGAUACAGCAUUUUAUAAUUAUCUGCGUGAAAAUGAAGGCAAUGUAUCCGAAAAAAGUUGGGCUUUUCUUGACAAUCGUGCUUUGCAAAAAUUAUUUAUGCCUUUCAAUUUGAAUGGCAAUCAUUGGGCACUUCUUGUUUUUUACAUUAAUGUUUUGAAAAGGGAUAUAGCAAUUUUAUUGUUUGAUUCGAAUAAUGCCGAUAAUGUUAAUGAUUCAUCAAUAAAAUAUAUUGUAGGUUUGUGGAAAGAAAUUUUAAAGCGAAAAUUUCCUUCCUUCAAAAUUAGGGAUCUAAUUCAACCUAAACAUGCCUUACAAAAAGAUGGUAAAAGCUGUGGUGUAUAUGUUUGUUAUUUUGUGAAACAGUUGCUUAAUAACAAUUCUGUUUCAGAUGAAUUUUCAACAGUAGAACUUCGAGAACAAAUCUACAGAACCAUUGUUGAAAGUCAAUUGAAUGACGAUGAAGAAGCCUAAUCUCACAAGAUAGCCCCCCACGAUGAUAAUCUCUGAUUGGAAUGAAAGUUGAAGUUGUGAAAAGAGGAUCUCAAAAAAAAAGUCCUCCAAUCAUUAGCUGCUCAAAACGACUCAAUUUUUGGUGAAUGUUUGAAGUUUUGUUUUUGUUGCAAAAUUCUAUAAUUUAUUUCGUUAUCAGAUUUAUAUUUUGUUAUUAUUUCGUGAUUUGUUAUCGUUUAUUCUUAAAUUUUAAAAAAAUACAAUAAGCACCACAAUUCCUCCUGUGGUUGUAAAAAUUGUAAAUAUUUAGCUAAACUUAUAAAUACCUAUGUAUGUACAUAUUAUUCAGCCACAUUACAUCCAAAGGAGAAGUCUCAAAAUAAGGCCAUUUUUUGACACCUGAAAAUUAUCGACUCGAUCGACCACUCUUGAAAUGUUGUAAAAAAAUUACCCAAAUACGAAAAUGGCCAUUUCUUUCGGCUCUAGGAGUUCCCAAAGUUGUGAAUAAAAAUAAAAAAUUAUUUUAGGAACCAUUGAGUAUUUUUCUCAGAAACUUUUUCAACGUAAAAUAUCUGUUUGAAUUCGAUAAACGUUAUGCUAGGUAAUUUUCCUUCUAUCGACCUUAGGGCGGCAGAAAUGGGAGGGGGGGUUAAUUUUUGGAAAAUUUUGGAACCACCAUUUUGAACCUACCCCUUUGAAUCCUGCUAAAAAGCUUUUUACAGUUUAUUAGUACCUGAAAGACUUUCAUUUUACCAACUUUGAGCUCAAAAAAAUUUUCCCCUGGAACUCAAAAAUCCGAUUUUCCAAUUUUUCCUGUAAGUUUCAUACUUAUAAUAAUUGAGCUUUUUUGAGUAAAAUUCUGAAGACGUGAAUUUAACGAUUUUUUUUUUCAACGAACUCAAUUUUUAAAAUUAGACCCAAAAAAGCUCAAUUAUGAAAGUUACAGGAAAAAUUAAAUGAAAAAUUAUCGAGCACUUGCUGGUGUGUUUCAAAUGCAAAUUACACUAGGUAGGGAACUUUUUUCGACUUCUUUUUUGUGUUUGGGUUGAAAAUGGGCUUAAUCAAUAGUUUUAUUAGUUUUGACCCUAAAACAAAAAACAGAGUGAGUUUUUUAAAAUUUGAGUUGUUUUUGUGGUCAGGAGAGAUAGUCAAAGUUGCAAAAUUAAAAAUGACAGUUUUCGCCCUAUUUCAAGCAUUUGUAGUGACAUCCGUAUUGUUUUGCGAAAAAAACCAAGGUCAUUUUCGAAUUCUACGCACUUUUUAAAGUAAACCAUUUUCCCCGAUUUUUGAUUUUCCAAGUUUCAAGCGCAUAAGACUAAUUUUUCUAAAUAUGAUAAAUUCAAUUUGAACUUUAGGUGAACUCAGUUCUGCGCCAGGAAUCGAUUACGUGGUGGACUAACUUCAGCGUCGCGCGCUUUGAGUUUUAAAUUAUUAUACAAAUAAAAAUCUUCCGUAUACGCUUGAAAUUUGAAAAAUCAAAAAUCGGAGAAAGUACCUAGUUUACUUAAAAAAGUGCGUAGAAUUUGAAAAUGACCUUUUUUUCGCAAAACAAUACUGAUGUCGCUACAAACUCUUGAAGCAGGGCAACUUUGAUCAUCUCAACUAACCACAAAAACAACUCAAAUUUAAAAAACUCGCUCUGUUCUUUGUUUUAGGGUCCAAAGUAUCGAUUAAGUUAUUUUCAACCGGAACACAAAUAUGCAGUUGCCUGGUGUUAUUCAAUUUAUCUGAGAACAUAUGCAUGGAUUUUUGAGUGGGUACCAGCGGAAAAUUUUAUCGAGCUGGAAAUUUGGUAGGAUAGAGGUCUUUCACAUUCUAAUGUACUGUAAAAAUCUUUUUAGCAGGGUUCAAAGGGGUCAGUUCAAAAUAUGGUGGUUCUAAAAUUUUCCAAGAAUCUAAACUCUCCAAUUUCUGUCCCGAGAGUUGAAAAUAGGUAAAUCACCUUCCAUAACAUUUAUCGAGUUCAAACAGGUAUUACACUAAAAAAGGUUUUGAAAAUAAUACUCAGUGGUUCCUAACAUUAUUUUUUCAUUCACAACUUUGGUUACCCCAGGAGCCCCAAAAAUGGUCAUUUCGAAUUUGGGACAUUUAUUACAACAUUUCAAGAAUGGCUAAAGAAUAUCGAGACUCCUCGUUUGUACACUUUUUUCGAUAGAAAAAUAUUUACUAACAAGUUCAUUCACCUUAUGUUAUUAGUUAUUACAGCUAUGAUGUUUGUUAUUCUUUUGAUUUGAAGUUAUAGAACCCAUGUUCAUUUUUGUUAAAUAUUUUAUAUAUUUUAAUUCUUAAUAAAGUUACCUUUUUUGUUUUUGUAAA